rnacentral:rRNA from 1 species
CCUACGGGAGGCAGCAGUGAGGAAUAUUGGUCAAUGGACGCAAGUCUGAACCAGCCAUGCCGCGUGCAGGAAGACGGCUCUAUGAGUUGUAAACUGCUUUUGUACGAGGGUAAACGCAGAUACGCGUAUCUGUCUGAAAGUAUCGUACGAAUAAGGAUCGGCUAACUCCGUGCCAGCAGCCGCGGUAAUACGGAGGAUUCAAGCGUUAUCCGGAUUUAUUGGGUUUAAAGGGUGCGUAGGCGGUCGGAUAAGUUAGAGGUGAAAUCCCGUGGCUCAACUUCGGAAUUGACUCUGAUACUGUUAGGCUAGAGAGUAGUUGCGGUAGGCGGAAUGUAUGGUGUAGCGGUGAAAUGCUUAGAGAUCAUACAGAACACCGAUUGCGAAGGCAGCUUACCAAGCUACGUCUGACGUUGAGGCACGAAAGCGUGGGGAGCAAACAGGAUUAGAUACCCGGGUAGUC